UCCCUGGUGGUCUAGUGGUUAAGACUCCGCCUUCCAAUGCAGGGGACACAGGUUCGAUCCCUGGUCCGGGAA
rnacentral:tRNA from 1 species